rnacentral:rRNA from 1 species
ACUAAAUAAAAAAAUUAUACAAAAUUUGCUUAUCUCAAAGAUUAAGCCAUGCAUGUCUAAGUACACGAUUUUAUAUAUCAAAACCGCGGAUGGCUCAUUAUAACAGCUAUGAUUUGAGAGAUAUAAUUCUAGAGCUAAUAUUUGAUAGAAUGCCGUGAUUCACGAAGCGGCGAAUUUAUUAGAUCAAAACUAACCUGUCCUAGACAGUAAUUUGAUGACUCUGAAUAAUUUUGCUGAUCAUACGACCUCUUGGUUAACUACCUAUCUCUUGAAAUGGCUGACCUAUCAAUUUCGAUGGUAAGAUCAAAGCUUAUUAUGGUUGUAACGGGUAACGGGGAAUCAGUGUUUGAUUCCGGAGAGGGAGCCUGAGAAACGGCUACCACAUCCACGAAAGGCAGCAGGCGCGAAAAUUACCCAAUGCCGGUUCAGCGAGGUAGUGACAAUAAAUAACAAUAUGGAUCCUAGUGGUUUCAUAAUUGAAAUGAGACUAUUUUAAAUACUUUUUCAAGUAUCAAUUGGAGGGCAAGUCUAGUGCCAGAAGCCGCGGUAAUUCCAGCUCCAAAAGCGUAUAUUAAAGUUGUGGCAGUUAAAAACCUCGUAUUUGAAAUUGAGGUAGAUGUAAUUUGAAAUUUUAUGAUUGAUUAUUACUAUACCUUUUCUUCGUGUAUAUUAGUGAGGGGCUUAAUUGUUUUUUACUAAUAACCGAAAUGUUUACUUUGAAAAAAUUAGAGUACUUAAAGAAGGCUUACGUUUGUAUAUUGUUGCAUGGAAUAAUAAAAUAAGACUUUGGUUUUAUUUUGUUGGUUUUCUUAACUAACGUAAUGAUUAAAAGAGACUGCCGGGGCAUAUGUAUGCUGGUGCUAGAGGUGAAAUUCUUAGACCAUCAGCAGACAAACUACUGCGAAAGCAUUUGCCAAGAAUGAUUUCAUUAAUCAAGAACGAAAGUCAGAGGAUCGAAGACGAUCAGAUACCGUCCUAGUUCUGACCAAAAACUAUGCCAACUGACAGUUAGUAAAGAUGAAUUAUUUCUUCUUACUAAAGGUCACCGGGAAACCAAAGUCUUUGGGUUCCGGGGUAAGUAUGGUUGUAAAGCUGAAACUUAGAGUAACUGACGGAAGGGAACACAAGGAAUAAAGCCUGCGGCUUAAUUUGACAACGCGAGAAAUCUCACCCGGUCCGGACACUGUGAGGAUUAACAGAUUGAUAGCUCUUUCUUGACUCGGUGGGUGGUGGUGCAUGGCCGUUCUUAGUCGGUGGAGCGAUUUGUCAGGUUAAUUCCGAUAACGAACGAGACUCUGACUUACUAAAUACUGAAUUUAUAUUCAAUUGUAAAUUCUCACUUCUUAGAAGAAUAAAUAGCGUUUAGCUGUAUGAAAUAUAGCAAUAACAGGUCUGUGAUGCCCUUAGAUGUCCGGGGCCGCACGCGCAUUACAAUGACAGUAUUAACAAGUUUUCCUAACUAUAAAUAGUAGUGUAAUCUCUUGAAACACUGUCGUAUCAGGAAUUGUGAAUUGAAAUUAUUUCACAUGAACGAGAAAUUCCUAGUAAGAGCAAGUCACUAGCUUGCGCUGAUUACGUCCCGCCGAGAAAGCUAGUCAAAUUUUGUAGAAAAUAUUAUGUCACUUAUAAAGAAAUCAGAGGUGAAACACAAAAAAGUUUUUAUAAUAAUAAUAAUAAUAAUAAUAAUAA